AUUGAACGCUGGCGGCAAGCCUAAUACAUGCAAGUAGGACGCAGUUGCGAACGGGGGAGUAACGCGUAGGUAACUGCCUAUUAGAGGGGGAUAACUAUUGGAAACGAUAGCUAAUACCGCAUACUAGGAGAUGGACCUGCGUUGUAUUAGCUAGGAGGGAGGGUAAUGGCCUACCUAGGCGACGAUACCUAGCCGAGCUUGGAGGGUGAACGGGCAAUCAUGGACUGGGGAAAGGCCCAAACUCCUACGGGAAGCAGCAAUAGGGAAAUUUCGGAAAUGGGGGGAAACCUGGCUGCUCAACGCCGCGUGAGUGGAGUAGGUUUUCGGGGCUUAAAGCUAUGUGGUUACGGGAGCGGUACUUAAACAGAAAGGGACGGCUAACUACGUGCCAGCCGCCGCGGUAAUAC
rnacentral:rRNA from 1 species